rnacentral:rRNA from 1 species
GAUGAACGCUGGCUACAGGCUUAACACAUGCAAGUCGAGGGGAAACGGCAUUGAGUGCUUGCACUGAAUGGACGUCGACCGGCGCACGGGUGAGUAACGCGUAUCCAACCUUCCCGUUACUGCGGGAUAACCUGCCGAAAGGCAGACUAAUACCGCAUGUUCUUCGAUGACGGCAUCAGAUUCGAAGCAAAGAUCCGUCGGUAACGGAGGGGGAUGCGUCUGAUUAGCUAGUUGGCGGGGCGACGGCCCACCAAGGCGACGAUCAGUAGGGGUUCUGAGAGGAAGGUCCCCCACAUUGGAACUGAGACACGGUCCAAACUCCUACGGGAGGCAGCAGUGAGGAAUAUUGGUCAAUGGGCGGAAGCCUGAACCAGCCAAGUAGCGUGCAGGAUGACGGCCCUACGGGUUGUAAACUGCUUUUAUGCGGGGAUAAAGUGAGGGACGCGUCCCUUUUUGCAGGUACCGCAUGAAUAAGGACCGGCUAACUCCGUG